GGUUCAGGAUGAACGCUAGCGGCAGGCUUAACACAUGCAAGUCGAGGGGCAUCGGGAGUAGCAAUACUGCCGGCGACCGGCGCAAGGGUGCGUAACGCGUGAGCAACAUGCCCGUAUCAGGGGGAUAAUCCAUGGAAACGUGGUCUAAUACCCCAUAGUAAUUAUGUAAGGCAUCUUAUAUAAUUUAAAGCUUUGGUGGAUACGGAUUGGCUCGCGUGACAUUAGCUAGAUGGUAAGGUAACGGCUUACCAUGGCUACGAUGUCUAGGGGUUCUGAGAGGAAGGUCCCCCCACACUGGAACUGAGACACGGUCCAGACUCCUACGGGAGGCAGCAGUGAGGAAUAUUGGACAAUGGAUGGAAAUCUGAUCCAGCCAUGCCGCGUGCAAGGAAGACGGCCCUAUGGGUUGUAAACUGCUUUUGUAUGGGAGCAAUAAGGGCUACGUGUAGUCCGAUGAGAGUACCAUACGAAUAAGCACCGGCUAACUCCGUGCCAGCCGCGGC
rnacentral:rRNA from 1 species